rnacentral:rRNA from 1 species
UAAUACGUAGGAGGCGAAUGUUAUCCGGAUUUACUGGGCGUAAAGAGCGCGUAGGCGGCUCUCUCAGUUGAUGGUGAAAGCUCCCGGCUCAACCGGGAGAGGACUGUCAAUACUGGAGGGCUUGAGGGCAACAGAGGAGGGUGGAAUUCCCAGUGUAGCGGUGAAAUGCGUAGAUAUUGGGAGGAACACCAGUGGCGAAGGCGACCCUCUGGGUUGUUCCUGACGCUGAGGCGCGAAAGCGUGGGGAGCGAAGAGGAUUAGAUACCCUCGUAGUCCACGCCCUAAACGGUGGAUACUAGGUAUAGGAGGUAUCGACCCUUUCUGUGCCGAAGCUAACGCCUUAAGUAUCCCGCCUGGGGACAACGGCCGCAAGGCUA